CCGUCCACAGGCAGAGACCAUUUGGAGAUUUCUAUGAAGUGCGUGGAUUGUGUUUGGGCUCGGGCUCGGGAGAAUUAAAGGUGUCUUCGGGCGUGGGAGUUGGUUAGGGAAGUGUGGGAAUGAAACAGGAGAGCGAGAGAGAAGACAGAAUUGCUUUGAUUUAAGAAUAAUAAGAGAGGACCGAGUUUGAGAGAAAGACGGGGGGUAGGAGGAGAGAAGGAUCAGGAAGCAAAAUGCGAUAGAGUGAAAACGGUUGAAUGAGGGGCAAACAAGACGCAGGAUAAGUGAAAGAAGAGGGGAAAAACAGAAGACGAAGCUGUGCUUGGGAGAGAAAGAGGGGACAACUUGAAGAGGCAAUUGGAAGAAAAUGCGCCUGAAGAAAAAACGUUUUGAUUGCAAAUGUGAGACGUGUGAGUGACUGAGUGUGCGCGGAGAGAAAGCAAGCAUUUAACUUGGGUGAGAGAGAGUGGGGAGUUGAGAGAAAGGAGGGGGAGAGAUAUUUGCAUUGUUUAUUACAGGCGGUGGGUAGGUGAGAGAGGGGGAGGAGGAGGAGGAGGAGCAGGCGAGCGAGAUCAGUUUACUCAUUCAGAGAGGGACAGAGAGAAGGGGACAGCGAAACCCAAGGAGCCGCUGCCAUUGUACCAGACCGCACUUCAGUCCACGAAAAGACGUCUAAUUUAUUUGAAGAGCAAUAACGCACUGCACACGGACCACGCAUUCACAGCCUCCUUUUAUUCAACAGCGUUUCCUAAACUUCAUGGUGAUGCGCUGCGAGGGUUCAGUCUAAUCGGAUGUUUCUCCAGGACUGUUUAUAUGCUUGUCCGUUUGUUUGGCAAUAGCAGGCAUGCUGUAUAAUACAAACCAGAUUGGAGAUUAUUAAACCCAAUCCAGCGCUUGGCACACUGGGAAUGGGAUAUUUCUGACGCAUCUGUUUGAGAUAACUCGGAGUCGAAUUUGCUGGAAUAUGAAUCAGAAACAGAUCUAGGUUUUUUGUAAUACAACGCUUUCAGCAGUGAGAUUGAGGAACAAGUCGCGGUCACAUAUUUUCAACAAUAUUUGGUCCGUCAGUUAACGUGGGAUUUUAAAGAAGUGUUCUGAGAUUAACAGCUGUACUGAUCAUUAUCCGUGCAUUUAAAAAAAGGACGCGAUCAAACUAAACACAACUUCGCGUGCGAGUUUUUACAUUCUCGUGUAUUAGUGCGGGUGUUUAGGGUAUUAAUUAAAAAAAAACUAAUGAAAAAUGUGAAUGCAUUUCGUGCAGGGAAGGUGACUCGUCUUUAAACAAGCUAAAAUAAAACUAUACCUAAAUAUUCUCUUUAUUAUUUAAAUAGACAAUGUAUAUAUUUAAAAUGUAUACUUUUAUAAUAGCUGUAUAAUACAGAGCCCUUAAAACGUCUACACGAUUUUACAACAUGAACCAUACGCAUUUAUAGUUUUAAAUUAAAGAAAGUCGGCAUUUAUUACGCUUCGGAUUAUUUAUAAUAGCGUCAAAAUAAAAAACAACAACAACUUUUUUUAAAACAAAUACCCUGAAGCAACGCUUUUUUGUCCCAGACGCAGCUCGCGUUCCCUUCGCUGUUCUUUCAGAGCGCUGGACGCGUUACUGUCUCUACAUGUCAGUCUGUGCUUCUGCGAAGCUCUCAACAUCUGUUAAUUGAAAGCGAUUUAAAGUGACGACUCUUUGCCACCGAGGCGUGUGUUACCGGCACUGGCACGGCUUCAGAAGACGCUUUCUGGCUACAUUUGGAGUUCUGACCCGAGUCAACUUUCCAAUCCUCUUUGGAUGGACUGGAGAAGCCGCCCGGCUGUGGAUUCUGAUUUCAAACCAUUCCACUCGGAUUUUCCAGCCUUGGCGUGUGAUUUGCGGGGACCCGCGCUAUUGAUCGGAAUGAGAAGCUGAUUGAAGUCCAGUUUUGAAAAGCAGACUCCGGUACGAAGUUCCAGCGAGCGCGUCUCCCCUGUCCUGACUCCAGCAUCUUCUCCUCUCUGCAGUUCCAGCGAGCGCGUCUCCCCUGUCCUGACUCCAGCGUCUCCUCCUCUCUGUGGUUCCAGCGAGCACGUUUCCCCUGUCCUGACUCCAGCGUCUCGUCCUCUCUGUGGUUCCAGCGAGCACGUCUCCCCUGUCCUGACUCCAGCGUCUCCACCUCUCUGUGGUUCCAGCGAGUGCGUCUCCCCUGCAAUGACUUUGCAGCUCCGGCUCUGACUGGGAGAUGGGAUUGGGGACUCUCUGGAUUCUGAGUUUCAUCACUGGAGCAGCUCACUGCCUUUCAGCUCCAGUGCAGGGUGUGGAGUCUGUGGUUCGCUCCAGGGUGGGGGGCUCGGCUGUCCUGGGCUGUAACCUGACCCCCCCCUCGGCCCCCCUUCCCUUCCCCCUGCAUGUCAUCGAGUGGGUGCGGCUGGGCUGGGCUGUGCCCGUCUUCAUCAAGUUCGGGUUGUACUCUCCCCGCGUGCACCCCAACUACCAAGGUGAGAGCCGCUUGCAAGACCCUCCUUUAUCUCUGAGCAGGGCUGGCUGAGCAGAGGAGGAGUCAUGAUGGUGGCUGCCACUCCACUCCACCAGCGCUUGUGUUCUCCACCUCAGGCAGGGGGUGGCGCUGUCGCUGAGGAUUCCCAGUUCCUCGCUGUAGCCUGCAUGCAAACUAGCUUGGAGCUGGAAUCGGGUCAGGGAGUGUUUGAAUGGGGUUCAGAAGCAUUGAUUCCUCCGAACCCCCUUGAGUUUGGCUUGGAGAAUCUAGAAGGGUCUUCACAGAGCGGAGUGCACCAUAAAACACCCUGUUAAUAGAGGAAGGGACCUCCGUUGUGUGCAGCUGGUUCUGUAGAUUAACAGGCUGUCUUCAG